UUGAGGAGAAGUCCGAAAAGGAAGACCCCAAGAGGACAAUAUCGGCUAGCGGUGAGCCUGGGCCGUCACAAUGCAACUCUUGAUCCGGAAUAAGCAUAUUCUGCAUGUCAGACAGAUUGCUGAACAUGGCAAUUGAUGGAUAUCAUCAUUUCAGGGAGGACAUAAGUGAAUAGUUUCCUCAAGGAACCACUCAUUCAGCACCAUCAGUAGGAAGCGUUGGCGAAUUUAAGCAGAACUUUUUGCCUGACACGCCAAGGGUCGUGGCUCGAUUUAGAAUUUUUACUUCUACAGUGGGUUUCUUCCUCCAGGAUGAUCGAUUGUUAAUGGUUGGCUUCCGACUUAACCACAAUUCUGACAGUUUGAUGUAACUAAAGCGAGCAUUUAGCUUUAGAGUCUUAUCUCAAAACAAUUUUUCUCAUUUGGUUCUUUCCCAGUGCAGCAUCUUCGUUUCACUGUCUAAUCA